rnacentral:rRNA from 1 species
UGGGGAAUAUUGCACAAUGGGCGCAAGCCUGAUGCAGCCAUGCCGCGUGUAUGAAGAAGGCCUUCGGGUUGUAAAGUACUUUCAGUCGGGAGGAAGGUGGUAAGGUUAAUAACCUUACCAAUUGACGUUACCGACAGAAGAAGCACCGGCUAACUCCGUGCCAGCAGCCGCGGUAAUACGGAGGGUGCAAGCGUUAAUCGGAAUUGCUGGGCGUAAAGCGCACGCAGGUGGUUGAUUGAGUCAGAUGUGAAAUCCCCGGGCUUAACCCGGGAAUUGCAUCUGAUACUGGUCAGCUAGAGUCUUGUAGAGGGGGGUAGAAUUCCAUGUGUAGCGGUGAAAUGCGUAGAGAUGUGGAGGAAUACCGGUGGCGAAGGCGGCCCCCUGGACAAAGACUGACGCUCAGGUGCGAAAGCGUGGGGAGCAAACAGG